UGUGUAAGAGUACUAAUGACUUGUGUGUUUAUGCAGGAUCACAUCCAGGAGGUGCUGAUGAAGUGGGAGCAGAUAGAUGACGAGAUCUGGUCUAAAGUCAUCGUCUUGGAGAGGAACCGACGUGUCGCUAAAGCCUACGCCAGGGCCCCUGUCUUGACCGUCAACGGCUCCGACGAUGGCUUCGACGGCUACAGGAUUGGGCUGUGCGGCUUCGAGAACCCCAUGAGAGACCCCAGGACUGAAGAGUUCCGCCGACAUAUUGGCCACGGAGUGAAAGUGAAGAUGGACGAUCAAGGCAACAUCCUCAUCAAGCGUGUGUCGAAGGCUGCCGUCUUUGUCAAGAUGGGUAGUGAUGAUAAUGCCAUCAGUAAUGAGAUCCUCAAGCUGCCAAACUGCUCUCUUGAAACUGAGAAACCUGUUAUGCUAUUCGACAUGAACAAGUUCCAGCAGAAUGUGAAGAGAGAGAUGCGCCGGCAGUACCCAGACCGCUCCAAACUGGAGACUCAGUGUGUGUGUGUAAUGGCCUUUGUAAAGAAUGAACCAGACCUCCUUGACUGUCCCAUCUGGGUUAUGAUCAUCAAUAUUGUGGCUAUGGACAUGCUCAAGAGUAAAUUCCCUCCAGUCAAGGUAGUACCCAACAUUAGGAACCGCCCACGUAUUCCCCUCCCAGACGAGGACCCAUACAGUGUAGCAGGCUCAGGUGCGUCCUCCGGGUCUUCGGGUAAAGACCGCUCGGGUAAGGAUAAGCCUCCCAAGCUACCCCCACGAGAUAACCCCAACUACCCGAACCCUGGACCCCGAUCUAAUGGCAAGUCUGACUACGAUGCCUUGGAUGAAAACGCCUUCCGUAAACUUCAUGCUCGCAACAACAAUAAUAAUAAGACAAAGGAUCGCAAGUAUGAUGAUCCAUACUACUGUGGCCUCCGCGCUCGCAUCCCCAACUUCGCUAUGUCCAAGUCAAAGGAUAAGCAAGAGCCUGGCCGUGCCCAGUACCCUAACGGGCCACCUAUUCCUGCCCAUCCUAUGUGGCACACUCGCAGCUUCGAUUCGGGCAUGGCUCUUUUGCAACAGAAUCAAGUGCAAAAUAUUCACAGACUAGAGCGGAACCCCUGCUCGUGGGUGCCAUCAAUACCAGUCAGGAAUGAAACUGAAUGGGAAUCCUACUGGGACUCAUGAACUGACAGUAAAUCAAAACAGUGGAAGCGUAAGACAACCAUCCCGAGGCUCUUAGACUCCGACUUCACUGAGUCCGCCUACUCCCACAUCUAUGGUCGUCUGCCCUUGCCAAACAGGGGCUACUUACCACCCCCAUUACCCCACCCACGCACCAUGUAUGUAGGGGAGUGGGACUGAGGCAGCUCUUCCAGGCAUCUCUUGGGCAUAAAGUGGGGCUCUGGGAUCCCUACUCCAGAGAUGGUGCUUAGAAUGCCAUGGCUAUGAUGAACUGACCUUCCCAAAAGGCUUCAUUAUGAUGAGAAAUGUCACAACAUUUGCUCAUGUUCUUGUCUGUCUGAUUUUCCCAUUGAAAAUUAAACUGACUUGAAAAAUGUGGUGUGUGGGGGUAAGAAGAGCAGUAUAAGAGGGGAUCAUUGCACAAGAACUUGUUUUAUGAGCUUGCACCAGUAACUUGACCACAGUUCACCAGUGACCCAAUGACCUGUUAUGACCUUCUAGUACUCAGCAAGUCUUAUUUUCUGUGCUGUAAGAAGGAAAAUGAGCCUUGAAAGCAUAAAGAAAAUAGGCUUACAUUACUCAGUGUUGUCACAUUGUAGGUAGAAUUAUAUUUACUUCCCUGAACUGGAUUGACCUAUGCUCAUGUUAAAUCCAGUUGAGGGAACUUUGUGAAAGCCAUCACAAGCGUUUGACAUUACUUCAGUCAUCAAGUGAUUAAGAGGAUAUGACUUCUCAGUGAACUAAAUCUUUCAGUGUGCUUAGGCUCCUUCUGGGUUAUUUGAUUUUAAUACUGUUAUUCUAUACAUGCAAAGGUGAUGUAUACUUUCAGGUUUCUUGCUGAAGAACACUGUCUCUUUAAUUAAUAUUUUCGAGUGUAACUGAAAUAACGUUUACUUAGCUAUUCAUUAGAUAAAAUGUUUUCUUAAAAGCAAAUGGAAUAACUUGUACUUAACUGUUCAUCCUGCUAAAUUGUUCUCCGACUCUGAUCAUAACGAUUUGAUUAGAAUAUCUCUUAGUUUUAAAUAUUGUGCCCCCUUUGGCAGCCAUAUUGGCCAGCCUUCAUUGUACAUAAAUGAGAUGACGAUUGUAUGAAUGAUGUCUGACAUCACACCUCUGAGACAGUCGCACUUGAGCAUGCCUUGGGUUGACACUGUCAAAGAAAUGUACUUGAAUGAAUUAUUCAUUUUAUGUGAGAUAUUAGAAUUACAGCAGCACCUUCAUCUAUAGAGUCUGAAUUGUUUCAAAUGCGGUGGGAAGAUUUUUCCCCUCAAAUCUCCCCAACUGUUACUCUGUAACAAAAGUAAGUGUUAUGAAGUGAAUUCAGGUCAUUUACUCUGACAGCAGAUGUGAACAGUGAAAUGGGGCAUCAUGCCAUUACUUCCUAGACCAUUAUUUCUGACAACUUUUCUCACAACCUGAAAUGGCUCAUUAUUGAGGGAAAUAUCUUAUUAAUAUUACCUAAACCAUGCUUUAUAUAUUAUCAUCGAAGACUACCAAAUAAGGUUCUAAAAAAUAUUCAUCAGUUUCUUAAAUGUUCUACUACUCAUGACAGGGAGGAAGUCUGAGAAUAACAUAAGGGAAUCCUUCCGAUCUUCAGUAACGUGUAUAUAGACGACUCUUGUGCGUUGAAGAGUGUUAACCGAGACUUCCACCCAGCGCCUCUCCUCAUUUUUGAGGAAACCUGUUGUGUUUUAUAUAUAUUUUGAAAUUGUUUUCUUUAUACAUUGUUAGAUCAUCCUUUUCAUACUGAUUUAAAUAGUUCACAUGCACAAUUUUGAUUAUUAAAUGAAAAUUGUGUUUGCAAUAUUUAUGUUUAAUUGUCACUAAAUUUGUGUAAAUUUUUGAUAAUUUUGUAUAUUUACUCUGAACUUUUUAUGAAAUUCCAUUUACUCAAGUGUAACUAUUGUAUAUGUGAUUAAAUAAUUGAUAUCAUA